ensembl:lncRNA
CUGAAUGUUUUUAUUAAUGCACUGAUUGGUUAAUAGCUGAGAGCAGACAAAGUGUCAAAGAACCACAGGAAAUGGUGAACAUAAAUGUAAAGAAAAAAAGUUGCUUGUCAGAUUUUCCUAACAAGUAACCAUAUCUUUUUUUUUAAAUUAGCUGAAAAAACCACAACCCGCAUCCAGGAUUUUUUUCACGCAACUUAAAAAAAAAAAGAAGCCCAGAGUUGCGUAUAAUAAGGGGACUUGGCAACAGUGAAGAUGAGACAUGAGAGCAGUGAAGCAGCUCAACAUCCGACACGACAGACUUUGGAGAAAACCUCAUACUUUCAUGUGCCUUGAUAUCAAACCCAUUACAGUCUUGGGUUCAUUAAAAUGCUGUCAGAGUUGUCUGUGAGUUCUCUUAUAAAACAGCGAUAUUUUUCAGUUUAAACUUAUAAAAUCCAAUUAACCCGUUGCUUCUUUAAGUACUAAUUAAAUCACUACCACUACUAUAAUUGUGGAAUUGACAUCACAUCCUCCUGAAGUUAAAAACAAAUAUAUCAUUAACUACAGAGGGUGCCUUCCAGCAUCUCAGUGGAAAGCUGUUUAGCUCGUGUACUUAUGAGAAUAUGAGGGCGUGUCUUCAUGUGACAGGAGCAGUUUUUGUGAAACAUGAGCACACGGAGCUCAUAUGACCUUUGAUCUUCACCGACGUGUGAAGAAUUAAGAGCUCAAUCACAGAAUUCAGUUUCAUAACUGCUUAAUGUUUGUAGCACGUACAUUUUCUCAGUUUACUGGCCAUUAGCAGGUGUGAGUUUUGUGUCUGUCUACAAGAUUCAAAGAGGAAACAGGAUUGUUUUGUUUUUUUCCUUUGUUGAGCUUCUCGACACACGGUCUGUUCCUGGCAUUCAUACUCCUUGACGUAACGCUUAACAAAAGACAUAAAUGCCUUAAAUCUCGCCAAGCCAGUUUGGUGUCCUCUUUUACAACAUUCUACUUUCACAUUGAUGCUAGGAAACAAGAUGUUCAGGAGUUCGGGACAUUCUCUAAUCUAUCCAAAAUAUCCAAGUUACUGACAAACCAGUGAUAAUAAGAGUGAAGGGAAAGCAUUCUGAAGGCCGACAGACAUCAGGAGCCUGAGCACGGCCGUGAUGAAGCUGGAUCUGAGCUGCAGUGUUUGGGUUCUGGCCGUUGGUUUGCUGCCGUUGGUCCGAAUCACUGCCGGAUCCAUUUUGGGCGCAGCUGUUAACAUUGAGCUGUUUGACCAGGACAGAUCGCAGCCGGUCAGGGCUCAUUACAGCGUGGUGUCCAAUUUGCCCUGUCCAGCUCUGAAUGAGCUGUGUAACGGAGGAGACUGCGUGGAUCAGCUCAGCUCCUCUCCUCUGACAGGGGCUUUACCGUCACCCGGCUGGUGUCUUCAUCAGUGGCAGAAGAACAUCCCUGAACACCACACAUCUGCUCUUCAGCUCAGAUCUGACAGAGCCGUGACACUGGAUUCACGAGCAGAUCUGUCUGUCAGAGCCGACACUAACCGUGUUAACCAGCCUCCAUUUGUGGCUCUUCCUCCUCCAGUCAGGUUACAAGCUGCUUGUCCUCAAGAAAUUCCGGUGAAUGUGAUGGAUUUGGAUGGAGAUGAGAUUCGCUGCCGUUAUAAGAAGACUGAACUUGGUGAAUUUCUGCAGCUUAAUGAAGAGACAUGUACACUGCUGUAUGAAGGUAGAGCUGGUUUGGGUCAGUAUUCAGUUCUGAUCAUGGUGGAGGAUUUUCCUUCAUCUGACAGAGAGGCCGAGCCGUUCUCCACUGUACCUCUGCAUCUCCUAAUAACAGUUGAAAGCGGAGCUGGCUGCUCAGUUGUGCCGGAGUUCACAGGCGUCAGUCCAGCAGGAGGCGCUGUAAUCCACGUACUGCCCUUUGAGGAGGUCCAUGUCAACAUUACAGUGGACUCAAGAGUACAGAGUUCACCCAGAUGCAGGGACGUGUCUGGAUGGGUGGCACCGGCCCCCCACAAAAUUAGCUUGGCCCCCCUUGAGCUCCCCAACAGCGCAGACUGAUCAGAGUAUAACAUCUGCGGUGCGGGAGCAAUUCGGGUGCAUUUGAAAUCUCACACGCUGAUGUCAUACACUGAUCGGCAGUGUAGCACACAUCUUCUCACUGUCUGGUUCACUGCCAUAUAUUUCCCGUACAACGCCACUGGAUUAGUGUGCUGUCAAUUUCACAGCUCAAACAGGAGAAGAGCGAUUUUGCUGGCUGCAGACCACAACUCUGUUCAUUGUCUGUUCAAGUAUUAGAUUAUAAAUUAUAAAUAUAGGCCUCAUAUAUAUGUAUAUAUGUGUUGUUCAGCCGCGAUGCACCAGCACCACUUAAAAUAGAAAUCAUUAUGCUACAUUUCUUCCUGUUGUUUCAAAGAUUAAAGGCACAAUCACUUUCCCAUAUAGUCUGCAGUACUGUGGUAAAUGCUAAAAUGUGGAGUUUUACAAAUGUUAGCAUUCACACACUUGGAAUUUUAAG